GCGAACGCUGGCGGCAGGCCUAACACCUGCAAGUCGAACGAACUCUUCGGAGUUAGUGGCGGACGGGUGAGUAACACGUGGGAACGUGCCUUUUGGUUCGGAAUAACUCAGGGAAACUUGUGCUAAUACCGAAUGUGCCCUUCGGGGGAAAGAUUUAUCGCCAUUAGAGCGGCCCGCGUCUGAUUAGCUAGUUGGUGAGGUAACGGCUCACCAAGGCGACGAUCAGUAGCUGGUCUGAGAGGAUGACCAGCCACACUGGGACUGAGACACGGCCCAGACUCCUACGGGAGGCAGCAGUGGGGAAUCUUGCGCAAUGGGCGAAAGCCUGACGCAGCCAUGCCGCGUGAAUGAUGAAGGUCUUAGGAUUGUAAAAUUCUUUCACCGGGGACGAUAAUGACGGUACCCGGAGAAGAAGCCCCGGCUAACUUCGUG
rnacentral:rRNA from 1 species